rnacentral:lncRNA from 1 species
UCUCCUAUAAGCAGUUCCAACAAUGUAUUAAUGGUGACAGCAGGGUUACAAAUUUGUAAUUCCUCUCGAAUAGCCUCCUACAUCCGAUCGCUGGAGCGAAGGAAUGUUCAUGGGCUUAUUCUAUUCAGCCUCAGCACUUCUGAAGAGUGGCAACACCAACGAGCAUAAGCUAAACUAUAUGUAGCUCAUAACUUCAGGUAGUAGUUGAUAGCAAAAGAAUUUUCCAGGCAAUAACUGAGAUUGCACUGUAUUUUCUUCUGAUCCCAAAUAGAGGUAUGUCGAGAGAUUACUGCAUCUCUUUUGUUCUCUUGUCGAGGCCAGCAUAUCCUUUUUCUGAAACUAAUUCUAGCAUAUCUCCUGGGAAACUGCAGCAGUGAACACACACUGUAAGAAAUCUCUUCUAAACGUUUCCGUUUGAUGCGUAUGACCAGUACUCGUUGACCAGCUCACGGAAGAGAGAUCCCUCAGUUUCCAUGAGCUUCAUGGGCUUGUCAUACUCCACUACUUUCCCUGGAAAUGUAUGCAGAUCAGUAGUAUGGAAUACUAUGCUGCGGAACCAAUAAGUUGCAGAAUCAGUAAGUUGGCAAUAAGAGAAACCAAUAGGUUGCGGAACCAAUAAGUUGUCAUACUCCGCUAGUUUCCCACAUUAGUAUGGAAUACUAUGUUGAAGAACCAAUAUGUUGGCAAUAAGAGGAACAUACAUACCAUCACUUAUUGCAAGUACCAUGUCACAGCCCAUAACUGUUGGUAUACGGUGUGCGACCGUAAUAACGGUGCAAUGUUUGAAUUCUGACUGGAUCGUUUUCUGAAGGACGGCAUCAGUUGCAUUAUCUAUAGAGGCCGUGGCUUCAUCAAGAACUAAGAUCCUGCACCUUUUCAAAAGUGUGCGGCCCAAGCAAAAGAGCUUCCUUUGGCUCAUGCUCCAGUUCGACCCGUCUUUCGCAACUGUAUGGAAAGAUAUAGAUCAGUACUAUGAAGAACACAAUUCCAGACUUCAUGCAAGCAAACUGAUCCGACUCAUACGCCUAGUAUUACAAGCAGUUUGACAGAUUUAUUGGCGCAUGUAUUCUAAUUGGUUAGGGGCAUAAAAUCAAAAGACUGAAGCAGAAUUGUAAUAUGCUAUCCUAUUUUGUUAGGGGCAUAAAAUGAAAUCCAGAAAUCAAAUCAUAGGUACAGUGAGGUUUCCUACCAAGUGAAUCCAAUCCCUGUUCCUUCUCCCGGACAGCCUCAAGAAGUUGGUAUUUGUCAAGAACCUGCAACCGAACAGCAUAUGAAUUAACCAAUUUAAUGGGUUCUUUUUCCAAAUGCAUGUAUGGCAUAUAACAGAGAAUGGACUUAUCGUUUGACAGGCCCACUAAUCAGUUUAUUCAUCCCAAUCAGACAAGGAGCUUACUGUUCUGAAAUUGUAGAUACAUAACAUGUCUUACCUCCCAUAUUAGUUGAUCUAAGAACUGCCCAAGGGGAUCUAGAUUAUAUCUUACUGUACCCUGAAAAAGUGUUGGAUCUUGUGGAAUGAUGCCCAAACGUGAACGCAGGUCAUGUAAGCCUAUUUUACUGAUGUUCACAGAGUCUAUAAUUAUAUCCCCUUCAGCAGGUUCAACAAGGUGAAACAAUGCACCAAUUAAAGUUGUCUUGCCACUUCCUGUUCGACCAACUAUACCAAUUUUAUCUCUACCUUGAAACUUGCAAGUGAUUCCAUGUAGUACAAGGGAGUAUCUUCCAUAUACCUAAUCUGUCAAUGAAAACCAAUCACACACAUCUGUCAGAAUAUUUGAAGGGUUUCGCCCUAGUCAGGCAUACAUGCAUAUUUUAUAUUUGCUUACCUUCAAAUCUUUAAGCUCCACACUGCCAACCUGGGGCCAAUCUGGUGCUGGUCGGUUUUCUUCAAUAACUUCUGCUGCUUCACUCGGAAUGUCCAUGUACUGGUUCACCCGUUCCACAGAUAUUAUUUUGUUUGCAAGGUCACAUUGCUUUUGAAUAGAGCUAACAAAGGAAUUAUUUAGGGAAAGGCCGUAGGACAAUGCCAUUCCAACAAAACCUGUGCCAAGUAUGGUAAAAAGUAAUUAGUUUUCUGAGGAUAAUGUUGAUUUCUUUAUAAUCCAGUGCAUAUUAAAUGUAUAUUUAUAAUGACAGUGGCACAUAGACAUUGAGCGUAUAACGUGUUACUAAAUGGAAAAUUGGGUAUCCUCCACUAGGGUUUCGAGCCAUUCGCCGUUAUGCAGAAGGAUUCUGUAACUCUAUUUGACAAAGAAAGUAGGCUUUCAUAACGAAGUAGAGCCUUCGUAACACCUAAUACCAGGAGCCUAUGGAAACAAACAAAAAAGCUUUUGCAGUGCAAAAUAACGAUUCAUUGCAAAUCAGAUGAAUGCAAUGAUCAAUCGUCAUACAGCUUGUAAGCUGCCAUAAAUAUGUGCAGCACAUGAAACAACUAUGUGAUGCUUGUACCUGGAAUAAGCUACAUACCAGGGCUAAAAGUUCCUGCAGGAAGAAGAGCCAUGACAAAAGCAGAAGAAGAAAGAACCGCAGCACUCAUUAUUUCCAGACGUUGAAUCAACCAUUCAGUUGCUGCAAAAUUAAAAAAGUACGGACCAGCAUUCUUGUCAACUAACUCCAGAUUUUUAGCAAAGAAACGACCUUCUUCCUCAAAGGCACGUAUUGUUAUAGCCCCUGAGAUCGAUUCACCUAAGUGAUUUACUAGAGCAGACUUGGUAGUGCCAUUGAUACGCAUCAAUUCCUUAGCCGAGGCUAAGUAGUACCUCUGAACAAACAUAUGAAAUGUCAGCCAACGGGAAUUGUGAAACGAAAAAAGUAGACGAACUUUACCUCCUGGGUGAAAAUAGCAGCAUAUCAUUUGGUGAAUGAAAUAACCAAAGAAAGGGGGUUUAGGCGUUUAGCCAUACAGAAAAAGGCCACAAGAUUACCUGUAACCGAAUUGCCAAAACUAUCAUUGGCAAUGGUACAAACAGAACUUGCCGUGUAACAACAGCCAAUACCCCCAGAUUGCUAUAUGCAUUUAAGCUGGAACUAAAGCCAAACAUCAAUGCAAAUGGAACAUCAAGGUCAAUGAUGCUUAAAUCUGAAGAGACCUGCAGGUUGGGGGGAGGGUUGAUCUAUUAAUAUAAAACCUUGUAACGUUAAACUGAAUUGUAGUUCAUAUAGUUGUGUUUGUUUGAGAAUUUUUACCUGGCUAAGAACCCUGCCUAGAGGAGUAGAAUCAAAGACGGACAUUGGUGCACGGAACAAUGAAUUAAGUAGCUGGGAAAAUAAGGAUCUUGAAGUCUGCAUCCCAAGAACAACGAAGAAUAUAGAUCUUGAUAGCACAAAGAACACCGUGCAAACUCCAAUAACAAUGUACACAGAAAUUAACUUUAGUGCACUAACAUCAGGAUUUUGGACAUUAGCGGCCAUCCAUGAAUUCUGUGAUAUUUGCCCAGCUAUGAAAAUUAUGUGAGACAUGACAGAAAGGGACGCAUACAGGAAGCCUUUUUUCUGGCGCAGGUAUAGGAUAUAAGGCUUAAGACCUGCGUCCCCUGAUUCUCUUUCCUCUGUUUUGAUCAGUUGAUCUACUGGUGAUGGCUUCACAGACUCUAUAUAUCUGUUUCCAUGAAUACCAUCUGUCUCCUUUAUUGGCAAAUCCUUUGCUCUGUGAUGGGCCAUAUUGUUAAGAUCUGAAACACCAGUAGUAUCUUUAUGGUCAUUUACAAGAUAUCUAAAUUCUUGGCAAUCUGACAAUAAAUCAUGAUAAGACGCAGACCGAAUAACCACCCCAUCUGACAUUAACUGCCAAAAAUUAUCACUAGUUUUAGACGAAAUCGACAAAUAUAAAUACGUGCAUGCUACGGGAAUCACAAACUUUAGAACAAGUAUUUCUCAAAUUCACAACUACUCAACUAGCAUGACUCCAAUAUCACCAUCUUCAUAUUUGAAAACAAUCAUCAAGUAUCAAAUUUCUCAUAGUAUUCAAUGCACUUUUUAUGAUAGUUUUUAUUAUAACUAUCUUGGAUGCCUAUCAUAUUAGGAAUAAUUUUAUAGCCAAAGCAAAUUACCAUGCAGUUCUAAAAGACUCUCAAAAUGAUAUAAGUCAAGCACGAGAGAUCAAUAAUUUCUAUAAAAUAAAACCACCACCGUGUUCUUAAAGAUAUAAGUGAAGCACUAGAGCAAAAUUAUCUAGCUCAAAAGAUAAAAGUGAAGCACAUAGAGUAUUCUAAUAAAUUCCGAUUUAUGUGUGUCUCUCCAAAAGGUGUGUACAGCAAGGAUGAUUGUGGUAAACUAAAAAGCAAAGACUCAAAUCAUACAAGACGCUCCAAGCAAAACACAUAUCAUGUGGUUAAUAAAAAUAUAGCCUCAAGUAAAGUUACCGAUAGACGAAGACGAAAGAGGGGAUGCCUUCUGGGGCAUCUCCAAGCUUAGGCUUUUGGUUUUCCUUGAAUUUUACCUUGGGUGCAUUGGGAAUCCCCAAGCUUAGGCUCUUGCCACUCAUUGUUUCAAAAUCCAUCAAAUCUUUAUCCAAAACUUGAAAACUUCACAACACAAAACUCAACAGAAAAUCUCAUGAGCUCCGUUAGUAUAGGAAAACAAACCACCACUUCAAGGUACUAUAAUGAACUCAUUCUUUAUUUAUAUUGGUGUUAAACCUACUGUAUUCCAACUUCUCUAUGGUUCAUACCCUCCGAUACUAGCCAUAGAUUCAUCAAAAUAAGCAAACAACACACGAAAAACAGAAUCUGUCAAAAACAGGACAGCGUGUAGUAAUCUGUAGGUUUCGAAUACUUCUGUAACCCCAAAUAUUCUGAAAUAAAUUGGUGGACGUGAGGAAUUUGUCUAUUAAUCAUCUGCAAAAAGAAUAAACGUAAUCGCACUGUCCAAUAAAAAUUGCAGCAAAUCUCGUGAGCGCUAAAGUUUCUGUUUUUUACAGCAAGAUCGCAAAAACUUCCCCCAGGUCUCCCCAAAGGUUCUACUUGGCACAAACACUAAUUAAAAGCAUAAAACCACAUAUAAACAGAAGCUAGAUGAAUUAUUUAUUACUAAACAGAAUCAAAAAGCAAGAAACAAAAAUAAAAUUGGGUUGCCUCCCAACAAGCGCUAUCGUUUAACGCCCUAGCUAGGCAUAAAAACAAGAAUAGAUCUAGGUAUUGUUAUCUUUGGUAUGCAAUCCAUAAGUGACUCUCAUAAUAGAUUCAUAAGGUAAUUUAAUUUUCUUUCUAGGAAAGUGUUCCAUGCCUUUCCUUAACGGAAAUUGGAAUCUAAUGUUUCCUUCUUUCAUAUCAAUAAUUGCACCAAUCGUUCUAAGAAAAGGUCUACCAAGAAUAAUAGGACAUGUAGGAUUGAAAUCCAUAAGUGACUCUCAUAUUUUUAGGCAAAGACGAAAACCAAGUUUUAGCAUGAUCUCUAAGCGAAAACAGAAAUAGCUUCAAUUUAACAAUAGCAUUAUCCAUAUAUUUCUUCUUUUGCAUAUCACAUAAAUCAACAAAGCUGUUUAGAUGGGUAGCGGCAUCUUCAUUAGGAAGACUAGAAAACGGAUAUUUCAUGACAAGAUUCAGCAAAACAGUAUUAAUUUCACAAGAUUCAACAUCGGUAAGAGGAGCAAUCGGAGUGCUAAUAAAAUUAUUAUUGUUGGUAUUGGAGAAGUCACACAAUUUAGUAUCAUCUUGAGCCAUCAUGACAAACAAUCAAUCCAACACACAAGCAAACAAGAGGCAAACAAAAAGAGACGAACUGAAAAGAGGCAGACUGAAAAGAGGGCGAAUAAAACGGCAAGGGUGAAGUGUGGGAGAGGAAAAUGAGAGACAAAUGGCAAAUAAUGUAAUGCGAGGGGUAAGAGUUUGUGAUGGGUACUUGGUAUGCCUUGACUUGUGCGUAGAUCUCCCCGACAACGGUGCCAGAAAUGGCUUGUUGCGAGAGAUUAAAUCUUGACUUGACUUGGUGCAACCUCCCCGGCAACGGCGCCAGAAAUCCUUCUUGCUACCUCUUGAGCUUGCGUUUUCCCUUGAAGAGGAAAGAGUGAUGCAGCACAGUAGCGUAAGUAUUUCCCUUAGUUUUUGAGAACCAAGGUAUCAAUCCAGUAGGAAAUUAUACGCAAGUCGCCUAGUACCUGCACAAACAAACAAGAACCUCGCAACCAACGCGAUAAAGUGGUUUUCAAUCCCUUCACGGCCACUUAUGAAAGUGAGAUCUGAUAAAAAUAAUAAGAUCAAUAUUUUUGGUAUUUUUGUUGUAUAGAUUGGAAAAUAAAGAUCGCAAAAUAGAAAUAGCAAGUUGAUAGGAAAAUAAUAUGAUGGAAGAUAGACCCGGGGGCCAUAGGUUUCACUAGUGGCUUCUCUCAAGAUAGCAAAUUCUAUGGUGGGUGAACAAAUUACUGCCGAGAAAUUGAUAGAAAAGCGCAUAGUUAUGAGAAUAUCUAGGCAUGAUCAUGUAUAUGGGCAUCACGUUCGCGACAAGUAGACCGAAACGAUUCUGCAUCUAGUACUAUUACUCCACACAUCAACCGCUAUCCAGCAUGCAUCUAGAGUAUUAAGUUCAUAAGAACAUAGUAACGCAUUAGGCAAGAUGACAUGAUGUAAAGGGAUAAACUCAAGCAAUAUAAUAUAAACCCCAUCUUUUUAUCCUCGAUGGCAACAAUACAAUACAUGCCUUGCUGCCCCAGCUGUCACUGGGAAAGGACACCACAAGAUUGAACCCAAAACUAAGCACUUCUUCCAUGGUAAGAAAGAUCAAUCUAAUUGGCCAAACCAAACUGAUAAUUCAAAGAGACUUGCAAAGAUAUUGUUCAUGGGUAAUCUAGAUCAUAAACCCACAAUUCAUCGGAUCUCGACAAACACACCGCAAAAAGAAUUACAUCGAAUAGAUCUCCAAGAGAAUCGAGGAGAACUUUGUAUUGAGAUCCAAAGAGAGAGAAGAAGCCAUCUAGCUAAUAACUAUGGACCCGAAGGUCUGUGGUAAACUAUUCACACAUCAUCGGAGAGGCUAUGGUGUUGAUGUAGAAGCCCUCCGUGAUCGAUUCCCCCUCCGGCAGAGCGCCGAAAAAGGCCCCAAGAUGAGAUCUCACGGGUACAGAAGGUUGUGGCGGUGAAAAUAGGGUUUCGUGGUGCUCCUGAAUAUUUUCGGGGUAUAUAGGUAUAUAGAGGAGGUAGAAGUACGUCGGUGGAGCUGCGAGGGGCCCACGAGGGUGGGGGGCACGCCUACCCCCCUGGGCGCGCCCUCCUGCCUCGUGGCCUCCUCGCUUCUUUCUUGAUUUCCACUCCAAGUAUCCUGGAUCACAUUUGUUCCAGAAAUAACUCUCCUGAACGUUUCAUUCCGUUUGGAUUCCGUUUGAUAUUCCUUUUCUGCUAAACAUUGAAAUAGGCAAAAAAACAGCAAUUUGCACUGGGCCUUUGGUUAAUAGGUUAUUCCAAAAAUAAUAUAAAAAGGUAUAUUAAAGCCCAUUAAACAUCUGAAACAGAUAAUAUAAUAGCAUGAAACAAUCAAAAAUUAUAGAUACGUUGGAGACGUAUCAAGGAGCAAGUCGGCAACACACGAACUCCACUCCAAGUCUCCAACGCCUCUAUACUGUUGUAAAAGGAAGAAUAUAGAUUAAUCACUAGCUAGAUUAAGAUUGAGGGCAAAGAAAAGAGAAAUUUAUCUAGAUGUACUUACCUUUCUUUCCUGCAAGCAUCCGGCGGGCCGAUCUGCGAGGCGGGCGAGAAAACGAACCGGCGUGGAGACUGAUGAGGAAUCGCCGCCUCGCCGCUGUGCGUGCGUACCUUCUUCGGGCCUCUUGGCAAUUGGGCUUUUGUUGGAAGUUGGAUGAUGGGCCUCUCAGCCUACAGACUUUUUCUUUUUUAUUUUCAUUCACGAAUUCAUCAGGGCCUAUAUCAUCUACUACCUGAAAUCUAAAACGUGUGCGCGCGCUAGUUGGAGAAAUCAAGCGGCCGCUCUGUCGCAUGCAUGUGUAUAUGUUUUGUCUGCUAGUGCAUGUGAUUGCUGGCAUUAAAUCCGGUCAGACUUGUCACAUGUGAAGAAAAAAUAGAUCCACGCAUAUUUAUUUCUGUUUUUAAAUUUUUAAAAAGUCAUAUCUUUCAAACCACGCACCGGAAUUCAGAUCCAUCUUCACCAUUUGAUUCCUCAUGACGAGAUCGUUCAAACUAGAUCCUGCAUGGGUAUAUUUCGACGAAAUGUUUUUAUGCCAACUUUGAUGCUAUAUGGUGCAACUUUAGUACUGUAUUGUGCAACUUUAGUGCAACAUCGUGCAACUUUUUCGGAAACCAAUUUUUAGAUCUGCAUGAUUCAACUUCCUAUGAGAUUGCUAUCUAGCAACUAUGACAACAUUGAUGUGCAACUAGUCUACCAUCUCGAUCAAUUACCUAGUAGUCGAUGUGCAACCCUCCUCUCUACAUGUGGAUGUGUAGUUCGUUUACUGUUGGCACACCCUACCCCCUACCCCUGCAAGCAAUAUGUGCAACUUAGUCUAUUAUUCAAUCCAACUGUCUAUUAGUCAUUGUGCAACUCCUUCCCCUCCCUAUUUGUGGACAUGUACUUUCAGUUGGCGGGGGCAACAAACAGAGUUGCACAUAGUCUGCUAGGUAGUUGGCCAGGGAAACAUACGAAGUUGCACAUCUCAUAGGCAGAGAUAGUUGAAUGGUGAAAAAUUGACAUUCAUGAGAGUAAUGAAAAGUUGCAUAUAAACAGAGUGCUAAAGUUACAAAUCUCACUAACAGGGGUGGUUUGGGCCGGGUGAUAGUUGGGAAACUACACAUCCAUGGGGGUAUGAGAGAAAGUUGCACAUCACUGUUAGAUAGUUGGCCGUUGCAGUAUUCGAAGUUGCACAUCCACUGUUAGUAUGUUGGCCGAUGCAGCAAACAGUGAAGCACAUCCACGGGCGGGGGAAAGUUGCACAUCAACUACUAUGAAGUUGGCCUGGGCAACAUACGAAGUUGCACAUCUCACUAGAAGGAGGAAGUUUGGGGCUGGAGGUACCAUAAAGGAAAAUUGCAUGUCUACAGUGUAGGAGAAAAGUUGCACAUCUCUGAGGUAGUUGCACAUCGACGACUAGCCAGUUACACAAAACAUGGACAAAAUUACACAAAAAAAAUUUCGUCGAAACAUACCCAUGCUGGAUCUGGUUUCGAAGAGCACGCCGCGAGGGUUCCAACAAUGAAAACGGAUCUUAAUUUCGAUGCACUGCUCGAAAGUUAUGGUUUUUUAAAAUUUAAAAACACAAAUUAAAUGGGUUCACAUAUAUUCACGUGAAUACUUUGCAAUUAUUUAUCUUGUUCACACAUGUCCAUACCUCUUCACUUUGCCUAAUAUGGAUUAGGGAGAGAAAAUAUUCCAUUUUUUGGCCGGCCAUCGCGGAGCGCUAGCGGGCCAACGGCCACCUGCUAGACCAGUCCCAUCUACUAUACACACAUUGCAGCACGGGUCAGGGCCCCUAGUUUGGCUGGGCCCGGGCCGUCGCCCCUGCUGCCCUGGCCCAGGGCCGGCCCUGACCGGAAGUUUCAACUUCCUUUCUGGAAAAAGGUGGCCCGCAAAUCGACACGCCUGACCUUAUCAUGCCGUUGUCACACUGGGCUUAGCGACCUCGCCUUGAUUGCUAAAUUUGAUCUGCUGGGGCCCGAUGGGUUGUUUUCAGGGCAGUCGUGUCGAACUUGGGCAGUUGUUAAUUUGUGAGCCAAAUCCUAACUGAUACGAGCAGUUUCUAAUGUGUGAAGCACAAUUCAACUGCUGAUGAGGCAGAGUAUUUUUGUGGGUUCUGGCAUGUCUUUUUUCUUUUCUUUCACAAGCAUGCCAAUUUGUACAUUCUUUUCUUUAUGAGAAGACAAUGCUCAUGCCAGUUGCGGGAAAAAACUUUCAAUACUCCCAAAUUGCUAUAUGCAUUUAUGCUGCCACUGAAGGUAAGCAUGAAGGCAAAUGGAACAUCAACACCAAUAAUACUCAAAUCAGAAGAGACCUCAGGGGACGGGGGUGAUUGUGGUGGAUAAUCCAUCAGUAGAAAAUGAGUGUGAAACAUAAAUGUAUUAUCAUAAUUGUCAUGUGUUUAUUUAUUUUUACCUGGCUAAGAACCAUGUCUAGAGGAGUAGAAUCAAAGGACAUGGGUGGUCGGGACAAUGGAAUGAGCAACUGCAAAAAUAAGGAUCUUCAAGUCUGGACGCCAAUACCGAUGAAUAAUGAUCACGAUAGUACAAAGAAAAUUGUGCAAAAUCUGAUAAUAAUAUAAACAUAAGUUAAUUUCAGUGUACUACACGAGCAUUUUAGACAUUGGCAGCCAUCUAUGAAUUCAGUGAUAUUUUCCCAGCAAAGAAAUUUCGGUUGUGUUGAUUUCUUUUCACUUUCAGUUCAACAAAGUUUUCAUCAAGAAAGAAAGGUUUGUGAGCUUUACAUCCAUGGUUGUCCCUUACUCUAGUUCAUGUCAAUGAUAUAUAUGAUCCGAUAUUUCUUAUUAACUGCAAUUUUUGAACAAGUUUGUGAAGAAACCAAACUUUUGCGAAGAAGAAUCAUACUAUUUUUAUUUAACAUUUUUUUAUGAUGUAUAAAUUCGAUACGGAGUGUUUCUCCUACAUUUUUGUAUGCGGCCUACAUGAAUACACAAAGAAGGUUUACAAUAACAAGAUACGAAUUUAGGCGGUAUCCGCAACAAAGUCUUGUAUCACAGUCCUUACAGCAACUGGAAUUCGAACUGAGUGGGUACUUCCGUCUGACCAUGUCAAGCUCCCGAAAGUGUAUCCUCCUUGCACUCUCUGCCUUGUGGUGAAUGUCACCAUAAAUGUUGCGCUUCUACUGCUUCCUUUGGUGAAAGUAAUCACAGAUGGUUCUACCGACACAUCUAUACCUGCUGGAGCUUCAACCACUAAAUGAUAUGUUGCUUCCGCUGGCCCAACGUUAGUCACAGCGCGCCGAAGCAUGACAUGGUCCUUGAGGUCCGGCACGACAAUUGACGGGAGGUUGAGAUUGAGGUAGUAGGACUCACAACCAUCUAAAUAUCCAAGAGUGCAGUUCAAAAACUUGUUGUACUCUCUUGCAUCCACGUCAUAAACCAAGCCAGGGUCAACAGCUCUAUCUGGGUCUAUAUGUCCACCACCAAAGUCGAAGGGGUCAGCUAGUUUCCUUGGGACCGCUUCUGCUUGGAUUGGCAUGCCAAAACGAUCAGUCACAGAUGCUGCAACCAAGACAAGAAACAAUCAAAUCAGUUUUAUAUUUUGACGAAUUGUUUUCAUGUAUUUUUUGUAUUUCAAUGUUCACACCUGUGGUGACGAUGGCAGACUUGAUUAUGGCAGGUGACCAGCCAGGGUGAACCGACUUGAGCAGUGCGGUCACAGCGGAGACAUGCGGGCACGCCAUGGAUGUCCCGGAUUUGAACACGUAGGAGUCGCGGUCCGCUGCCAAGAUGCUGACGCCAGGUGCAGCAAUGUCGGGCUGUUCAAACAUGUGUAUUGAGAAUUAGUUAAGAAGUCGUAAGUUAAGAAAAAUUAGGAAGGCUAGGUAACAAACAAGACAAUGGCAACAAUUGUCUCAAGUUAAGAAAUUGAGAAUGAUAUAUACCUUGAGUAUGCUAGGGAACAACAUGCUUGGACCUCUCGACGAGAAUGAGGCGACCCUCGGCGACAACACCCCUUUUCCGACAACGGUCAUGGCAGGUGACACCUUCACCACCGCAUUCCUAGCAUGACACGUGACUGGCAUGAGUUUCCGGAGAAGAAGAAAACGCAUUCAAAUCUGUUUCAGACAACACGACAUGCACUCACCCUUUGUCCCAACUCCAAUAGGAGGCAAUUCGUUGUGCGAUCUCAAAAUCCACCACUACACAGGGCAUAACGCCCCUACACAAAGGCAGGAAGUCGAGGAGGUUAGUAGUGUACUGUGCAAAUAUGAGGCCCUUGGCGCCAGCCAUGGUGGUGAGAUUGAUGGCUAUGGGAAGUGCUUGUCGAGGCGGCAUGCUUCUCGCCGCCACGGGUUGAUAGCAUAGGACGAUUUUACCGGUGACGUUGCUCAAUGCCAGUGACGACUCCGUGUCACAGCUGCGCAGAAGUUGUAAUUCAGUAUAGUUGAUAAAACACUGAAUCGUGGUUACAAAAGUGGACAACUACAACAAAUGCGUCAAGUGAUUACAGAUGCAUAACUACAGAAGUUUUAUUUCAUUACCUCCCGGCAUAAACAAGGUCUUUAAAGUUGCCGCUGAUCACAGAUGCAUUGUUGUGAAGAGAUUGCCCCUGUAUUUCGAAUCAAGCACACAUUAAUAAGUAAUUAAAGGAAUCAGGGAAAGCUGGCUUCAGGGACGAGCUAAAUGUACUUUUUGUUUGUUUCCACGCUCUGAGACGAAUCAAGUUAAUUUGUCAAAAACUAUAAAACCAAUUUUAUAGCCCCGGAUCUAUCAUUUCCUCAGACCAAAUAAAUACUUGGAGAAUGUUUGUUUGUAGCAUGCACGUACCACAAGCUUUUCUUUGUUUCCGAGCGAUAUCAAGGUCGGGAAAGACCGGUCAAUCGUGCUAGCGGCCACCGUUGUAACCCACGGUUGGGCAUUAGCCACCGUUUGUGGCACAGGGCCAUCAUUCCCUCCGGCAAACACGAUAGAGAUCCCUCUUUGCACAGCAUGCAGUGUCCCAGGAAACUCGUGACCAGCCCCAGCAAUCGAGAGCGACAAGACGUCCACACCAUCAUGCAUAGCAUCAUCGAUAGCCGCGAGGACCGCUGCUUCAGGGCAACUCCCACCCAACCAACACACCUUGUAGAUACUGAGGCGCGCACGUGGCGCCCCGCCGCGUGCCACGCCCAUGCCUAGGCCUCCGUAGCUCACGCCCUGCACUUCCCUGCCAGCGAUGGUCGACGCGACGUGUGUGCCAUGGCCUUCAAUGUCCCUAGGCGACUUAUAGUUUCUGUUUAGCACCUCGUCACUGAUUCCACGCCCAUACCACCGCGCACCGAUGAUCUUUUUGUUGCAACUUGUGGCGUUGAAAUCCUGACCAGUCUGGCAUUUCCCUUUCCACCGUGCCGGCACAGGGCCAUACCCAUUGUCAUCAAAGCUUCGUGAUUCAGGCCAUAUGCCUAUAAAUAAGCAUGGGAAUCAAUUGAUUCGGUAUCGGAAUUUCUCAUAUUCAGGAUUUAAGCUUGAGGGGUCGGACUGCAAACCUGUAUCGAUCACACCCACGAUGACAUCUUCACCAUACUUUGCUUUUCUGAGUAGGCCCGGUUGUUGUCUUGGUUGGUUAUGGUCAAGGCCAAGAAAGUCCCAGCUCCGAGUUGUGUGCGUUUCGUGAUAAGUGUUAGGCUUCACAGUGACAACUUCUGGGAAUUCUACAUCAAAAAUAUGUUGAUUAGUUCUUGUCGGUCAUCCAAGUAGAUACGAUGAUAGGUAGGAGCCUAUAGGACUGACAAUCACUUACUUGCGAUUGUCUCAGCCUGAGACUCGGUGAGCAUCGCCGCAAAACCAGAAAAUCCAUGCUUGUAACUGUAAACUAUCGACCUCAAGGCUUCAUCCUUGCUGUUGUCAAGUAAAAUGAGGGUGAGCAAGUCACGACUAAUACGUCGACGAUGCAACAUGAACUCACAUGAACUCCUGAUUGUUUUUGUUUUGAACAAAAUGAAUUGGUAGCUAGUUACAGUACCUCCCAAAAACAGAGGUUAGCAUGUCACGGUGAGACGCGGUGACCAUGGAUGGGUCAUCAUGCUUCUUCUCCCCCAUAUACACGAUGUAGAGCUGAAAUUCAUUUUGUCGCAUAAGUUCUCAACAAAAAACAGAUAUCAGGAAAGAAAGCAAAUUGAGAGAGGACUCGGGUGUGUAUCUUACUUUACUCGACGCGUUAGCUGAAACAGGCAGCAGUAUUACCAGCAGUAGGAGAGCGCCACAGAAUGCUGUUCUGGAAUCCAUAUCUUGCUUGGAGAAGAGUGCUAUGUUGUUGUGUUUGUGUUCCCUCGUUCGGUUUGUAUGUCUAUAUAGCAGCCAGGAGCAAUAAGGAUGGGGUGCAAGAACAGUUCAAACCAAUUUGUUUGAGUGUCUUUUUUCUCAUUUCAGAGGGAAUGUUUCAGUGUUGUUAGUUAGGUGACAGCGACACACACGCGUGAGGAGCAAAGACUAAUCCUUUUGUCUAUAUAGGAAUCCCCGUGCUUUUUGUAAUGAGGAAGAAGCACCAUGCUUUGAUCAGGUCCUGGCGGCUAUUAGUACCAAACCGGAUAUAGAUCUUAAUUAAUUAUAUGCUCUCUCGUGCAAUGACCUGGUCGACUUUCAAACAAGCUUCCACGGCUUUGCACAUGGGUCUUAAUCGUUCCACAUGCGUCUUAAUCGUUCUACAAACGCGGGCGGCGGUAUAGGUAAUACGUAACAAAGUUGACAAACGUGACACAUUCAAAUAUUCCAUGGGCACGUCAAGGAUAUAGACCCGCCAACUUUCCUAUAAUCGCAUGUACUCAAAGAUGUAACUUUGCCUGUUUUCAAAUAAAGUUCCAAGAGACUUUUUCUUCGAAAAAUAAAUUUACAAGGGCAAAGACUGGUUUUGCUGAUCCGUUUCUCCAGCUAUUACAUUAUAUAAAUCCAGUAAUUCGAGCCGACAUAGUGUGAUGUGGUCGCCUCUCUAAGCUCGUCUCAUGGUUUUCAAUUCUUUCACUGAGAAAGCCAACUAACAAGUAUUUAAAGAGAACACACAUUUAUGGAAAACAUAGGCCCGAGAAUGGAUAUUGGGACGUUACAUAGACAUCAUCAAUCAUAUCAUAGUGCACAUAACAAAGCAUGUAAAACCAAGCUCAUGUUCUCCUACUUUUGUAGGCAUGUAUUAGUAUGUAGUUGAACUUGCUUAUUUAUAAGAACAAGAGCUUGCCCGGCAUCUAUAGUCCUACCCUCCCAUGUCACGGUGAUCAUAGUUUAAACAAAGGGUAAUUAAGGCGUCAUUUUGUGAGACAACCGUACCAACACAUUAACACUUCGUGAAUACAUGGAAACAUCAAAUCACAACACUCCCCAUUGAUAUCCCGGUCACCCUCGGGGUCACUUUUGAGGCUAUAAUAGGUACAUAUCACACUUGCAAGUACAAUCCAGACACAUUGGCAUCAUGAAAACUUAUAUGGUUAAUAUAUGAUACCACAUUACUUGGGCCCUAUUAGUAGACAUUAAGCAUAACAAAGUUGUAUCAAAACCCUAUAAUCUUAGCACUACUAUAUGAUUGGCAUCGUCAAAUUCCCAUCCACCUGCCUACAACAGAUUACUUGCAUAUGGAUGGAAGAAACAUGAUGGAGAUGAGAGGAAAAGAGUUGAUGGCGGUGGAACUCCCUCUUAGUGUGCAGAAUCAACCUCUCGACAACCCUCCUAGACGAGGAUUAGCGAUGGUGUCGACCGUCAAGUGUCAGGAUAAUAUGGCAUAAAUUUCGUGGAACUUAGAACGCCAAGAGAAAUUGAUAGCCGGAAGGAGAUGAUGGGAGACAACCUUUGGAUCCCCACGCGGGUGGCUCACACAACCUCCUCCAUAGCCAGCGUGAGGAGUGGGGCAUUAAGGUCAAUGAUACUCAAAUCGGAAGAGACAUAUCGAGGACGAGGUAAGGGUGGGGGAUAAUCCAUCAUUACAAAAGGAAUGUGAAACCGAAUUUUAUUAAACUAAUUUUCAUGUGUAUUAGAUUAUUUUUUUCACCCGCCAAAGAAUCCUAUCUGGAGCAAUAGAAUUAAAAUGGACAUGGGCGCUCAGAACAAUUAAUUGACAAACGCAAAAAUAAGGAUCUUGAAGUUUGGACCCAAGGACAACAAGGCAUAAAAAUUUUGAUAUCACAAAGGAAAUCGUGCAAACUACAAUGUAAAUCUAAAUUAACUUCAAUGUACUAACACGAGCAUUUUGGACAUUAGCAGCCAUUCAUGAAUUCGGUGAUUUUGGCCCAGCUAAGAAAAUUUGAUCGUGUUUAUUUCUUUUCACUUCCAGUUUAGAAACGUUUUCAUCCAGAAAGAAAGGUUCCGGAGAUUUGAUCCGUCGUUCUCCCUUAGUCUAUUUCAUGUCGAUAUGAUCCGUGGUUUUCUCAUUAAUUCAUUUUUCGUAAAAGUUUGUGAAUAAACCUCUCCUUAGCAAAGAAUCGUAUUUUAUUCCAGUAUAACAUUUCCUGUGAUGAUGUACAAAAUUAAAGUGUUUCUUCUACAUUUUCUUAUGCCAACCACACGAAUACAUAAAUUAUGUGUAUAAUACAAAGAAUAUGAGCUUAAGAUGUAUCUGCAACAAAGUCUUGUAUCACAGUCCGUACCGCAAUAGGAAUUCUCACUGAGUGGGUACUUCCGUCUGACCAUGUCAAGCUCCCAAAAGUGUAUCCUCCUUGUACUCUCUGCCUUGUUGUGAAUGUCACCAUAAACGUCACACUUUUACUAGUGCUUUGGGUGAAAUUGAUCACAGAUGGCUCUACGGACACGUCUAUCCCCGCUGGAGCUUCAACCACUAAAUGAUAUGUUGCUUCCGCUGGCCCAAUGUUAGUCACGGUGCGCCGAAGCAUGACACGGUCCUUGAGGUCUGGCACGGCAAUUGACGGAAGGUUGAGAUUGAGGUAGUAGGACUCACAGCCGCCUAAAUAUCCAAGGGUGCAGUUGAAAAACUUGUUGUACCCCCUUGCAUCAACGUCGUAAACCAAGCCAGGGUCAACGGCUCUAUUUGGGUCAAUGUGUCCACCACCAAAGUCGAAGGGGUCGGCUAGUUUCCUUGGGACUGCUUCUGCUUGGAUUGGCAUGCCAAAACGAUCGGUCACAUAUGCUUCAACCAAUGCCAAGGAAUCAUCAAGUUAGUCAUAUAUUCAAAUGAGUUAUUUUGACGUAUUUUGGUUAUUACUUUCCUACCUGUGGUGACGAUGGCCGAUUUGAUCAUGGCAGGUGACCACUGAGGGUGAACCGACUUGAGCAUCGCAGUCACUGCGGAGACAUGUGGGCACGCCAUUGAUGUCCCAGAAUAGAACACGUAGGAGCCGCGCACCGCUGCCAAUAUGUUGACGCCAGGAGCAGUAAUGUCGGGCUGUCAAAACAUUAAUUUUUAUCAUGAAUUAGGUAUGUAAGUCUUUAAUUCUGAAAAACUAGAGAGGCUAGAUAGCAAACAAACAGUGACAAAAAUUCAACUAUUUGCCUUAAGUUGAUAAUGAUAUACACCUUCAGUAUGCCAGGGAACAAUAGGCUUGGAUCUCUGGAGGAGAACGAGGCGACCCUCGGCGACAACACCCCAUUUCCAACAACACUUACAGCCGGAGACACCAUCACCACCGGAUUCCUAGACACAUGACAAACAUGAAUUAGUUCUUGUAUAAGGAGAUGGCAAACUGAGUGUUCAAAUAUUUUCACGCUGCAGUUUCCAACAAUUCGACAAAUUCUCACUCAGUCAUGUCCCAGUAGGAGAAAAUUCGAUGUGCGAUCUCGAAAUCCACCAGAGCGCAAGGCAUAAAUCCCUCGCACCCGACCAGGCUGUCAAGAUUGUUGGCGGUGUAUUGUGCGAAGAUGAGGCCCUUUGCACCGGCCUCAAUAGUGUAAUUGAUGGCAUAAGGGAGUAUUAACUGGGGCGACCACCGCGAUGCCUCUUCUGGUGCAUAACAAAGGACGGUUUUGCCCUUGACAUUGCCCAAGGCCAGUGAUUCCGGGUCGCAGCUGCUCAAAAGUAUUAAAAUUGAACAUGGUUUUGUCCUAAAGCGCGGCAUUUACUAUUAAUCAAAUGUCGUCAAGAGACUGGUUUCUUUCAUUACCUCCCAGCAAAAACAAGGGCCUGAGAGCCGCUGUUAUUCAUAGCUGCAUUGUAAUUUAGAGAUUGCCCCUGCGUUUGAAAUUGAUCACAAAUUAAAGAACAAGCUAACUGAGGAAAGCUACAAGAUACGAUAUAGUUGGUGGAGAACCAGCAAUGAUUUAAGUAAAGCUUCAAGGAGGAGCAAACCAUUUAUUUUCCCCGGGUUGGUUUGAACGUCACUUUCGUGCUCAGAGAGUCAAAAGGUUAUUAUUUAGUAAAAUUGUAGGAAAAAAAUCCAGAUUGACCAAUCCUCCACAUUCAUGCUAUCUUAUAUGAACUAUUUCAGGAUUGGAGCACGUCUUAUCCAAUAACAUUUUUCACCUGUUUUUUUAUCCAUUAUUAAUAUUUUCCAUGGGGUUUUUCAAUCCCUUGAGAAGGGCAAGGUAAUACUUCCCUGUAAUAUUUCUUAAGAGAUGGAAAAUAUAAGAAAUAAUUUACAUACUUUUCUAAAACAAAGGAGUGAAAUUGUUUGGUACGUACCAUCAGCUUUUCUUUGUUCCCAAGCAAUAUUAGGGUCGGAAAAGACCGGUCAAUCGUGCUAGCGGCCACCGUCGUAACCCAUGGCACGGCAUUCGUCACUGUCUGUGGCACAGGGCCAUCAUUCCCUCCGGCGAACACGACGGAGAUCCCUCUUUGCACAGCAUGCAACGUCCCAGAGUACACCUGACCAACCCCUCCAACAGAGAGCGACAAGACGUCAACCCCAUCAUGUAUGGCGUCAUCGAUGGCAGCAAGGACCGCCGCGUCAGGGCAACCCUCAUCCACCCAGCACACCUUGUAGAUACCAAGUCGUCAAUGUGGUGCUCCGCCACGUGCCACGCCCAUGCCUAGGCCUCCAUAGCUCACGCCCUGCACUUCCCCACCGGCGAUAGUUGAGGCGACGUGUGUGCCAUGGCCAUUGAGGUCCCUAGGUGACUUGUAGUCGAUCUUUAGUGACUCGGCACUGAUGCCACGGCCAUACCACCGCGCACCGAUGAUCUUUCUGUUGCAACCAGUGGCGUUGAACUUCUGGCCACUCUGGCAUUUUCCUUUCCACCGUGCCGGCACGGGGCCAUAGCCGUUGUCAUCAAAGCUUCGUGAUUCAGGCCAUAUGCCUAUAAAGAAGCAUUUACAUCCAUGGGGUUAAUUGAUUCCUGGUCUUGGGAUUUCUCAUGUUCGGGGUUUAAACUUAAGGAUGGGAUUACGAACCUGUAUCGAUCACACCCAUAAUGACAUCUUCACCAUACUUUGCUCUUUUGAGGAGCCCCGGUUGUUGUGGCGGUUGAUUAUAGUCAAGGCCAAGGAAAUCCCAGCUCCGAGUUGUGUGCGUUUUGUGAAAAAUAUUAGGCUUCACAGAGACAACUUCAGGAAAUUCUACAUUCAUAUAUGUUGAUUAGUUCAUUUCGAUCAUGCAAGUUGAUAUAAAGAUAGCAAGCUCAUGGCACCUCAGGACUGACAAUUAAUAAUCAUACUCCAAACAAAUAUGGUUGUGUAAAUUGCAAUGAUGAUGCAGAGGCCGGGGGGUUAACCCCGUCUUAUAAAAAAAGGGUUGACAAUUACUUACUUGCGAUUGCCACAGCUUGAGAUUUUGUUAGCAUAGCCGCGAACCCAGAAAAUCCAUGCUUGUAACUGUAAACUAUCGACCUCACGGCUUCAUCCUUGCUGUUUCAAGUAAUAAUAAAACAAAAGGGAGGUGAGCAAAUCACGACUGUUUCCUGCUAACACAUCUAUGAUGCGACAUGAAACUCAUAGCCAGUAGUACCUCCCAAAAACAGAUAUUAGCAUGUCAUGGUGCGACGCGAUGACCACGGACGGGUCAUCAUGUUUCUUCUCCCCCAUAUACACAAUGUAGAGCUGAAAUUUCAACAAGAAAAUGUUCUCAGUAAAAGAUUGGAAAGAAGAUAAGAUAAAUGCUGUGCGAAGAGGAAUCGAGCAUGGAUCUUACUUUGCUCGGCGCGCUGGCUGAAAGAGGCAGCAGCGUCACCAGCAGUAGCAGAGCGCCGCAGAAUGCUGUUCUGGAAUCCAUAUCUGGCUUCGAGAAGAGUGUUCCCUCGAUCGCUUCUCCCUGUGUGUAUAUAUAGCAGCCAGGAACAAGAACAAGCAUGGAGGCACAAGAACAGUUCAGACGAAUUUGUCUGCGAGCUGUUUCCUUCCCUUUUAAGGGAUUGUUUGUGUUGCUACUUGCUAGGUGACACACACGUCCGAAUGGAAGACCAUAUAUAGAUCCUUGUCUGUAUACAAAGCACCGUGCCUUUUCCAUCAGAGAAGAAGCACCGUGCUUUGAUCAGGUCCGCCAGGAUUAAACAGCUAACCGGAUAUAAAUAUUCUGGUGUCUGACGUAAUGACCUUUUUUUCGAAAAGGGGAUUCCCCGGCCUCUGCAUUAGAACGAUGCAUACGGCCAUGUUAAUAACCAAAUAAAGAAGUACCAACAUGAUUCCAAAGGUCUCCAAAAGUAAAAAAAAAAGUACAUAAAGCUCACACAGAGCCAAAUAAAGGCUAGAAACACCAACUAGCCAGGACAAGAUGCCACAACCGGCCGGCUCAAACUAGAUAGGGAAACUAAGUACCUAUCCUAUUACAUGACCGCCAUCCAAACCGGUUGAAGAUAUCCCGAGCUACCAUCUCCCAGCGGAAAGAUCCAGUAACCAAAUGCUCCCUGGCCUCCGUCUGGGUGAGUAGCGACCACGAACGGAUCAGUGCCGUAGUUCGGAAUAUGACCUGCAAAAAAUGUAUACAUGAUAUUCUGUUAAAGACCAAAUCAUUUCUGCAAGUCCAGAUAGUCCACAGCAAAGCACAAACUCCAACCCGAAUAUGUCUCGCUAAACCAGGCUCAAUCCCAUUAAGCCAAGUCCCAAAUAACGCAUUAACAGAAUUCGGUGGAUUGAUAUUAAAAGCAAUGUGGACUGUCUGCCAAAGUACCUUGGCCAACGGGCAAUCAAAAAAGAGGUGUUUGAUAGUCUCAUCCCGAUCGCAGAAACUACACCUAGUAGGUCUUGUUCAAUUACGCUUUUAUCAAGUUGUCCUUAGUUAAAAUAACUUGUUUAUGGACAAACCACAUAAACACUUUUAUUUUCAAAGGAACUUUGACAUCCCAAACAUGCUUAGACGUAGGAAUGGAGUCCGAAUUAAUAACAUCAAUAUACAUUGAUUUAACCGUGAAUACUCCAGACUUAGUCAAUUUCCAACGCAAUUCAUCGGGUUGUUGGGAAAGCUGGACAUCCGUCAGUCUCCUAACUAGACGGAGCCAUUCUUCCCAACGGUUGCCCGCUGGCGUUCGUCGGAACUGGAUAUUAAGGGGGGUAGACUGAAAGACCGAUGCGACGAAUACCUCACGUCGUUGAACAAUGCGGUACAAAGACGGAUAUUGGAUGGCCAGGGGUGUCCCGCCAAGCCAAGUAUCCUCCCAGAAACGUGUACUCGAGCCGUUUCCAAUCACAAACUUCGUCCUAUUAAAUAAGGCCUGUUUGACUUUCAUCAGGCCUUUUCAGAAAGGCGAAUCGGUCGGCCUGACUAUAACCUGGGACAGAGUUUUUGUCUGGAGGUACUUGCUGCGAAGGAUUUGAGCCCACAUAGCAUCAGUCUCCGAUGAGAGCUUCCACAGCCACUGUCUAAGAAGGCAUUUAUUCUUAACUUCUAGAUUCUCAAUACCUAGACCCCCUUGGUCUUUUGGUCUACAGAUGAUAUCCCAUUUAGCAAGCCGAUAUUUUUUUUAAGCUCAUCACCCUGCCAAAAGAAACGCGAUCGAUAGAAGUCCAGUCUCUUCCUAACACCAACUGGGACCUCAAAGAACGAUAGGAGAAACAUUGGCAUGCUCGUGAGCACUGAAUUAAUCAGGAUUAAUCGGCCUCCGUAUGAUAUGAGCUUACCCUUCCAGCAGCUCAGUUUUUUCUCAAAUCGGUCCUCAAUGCACUUCCACUCUCUGUUUGUCAGCCUACGAUGGUGGAUUGGAAUCCCCAGGUAGGAGAAGGGUAACUCUCCCAACUCGCACCCAAACAAUUGCCUAUAAGCAUCCUGUUCAUGUUUGGCCCUACCAAAACAGAACAGCUCGCUCUUAUGAAAGUUAAUCUUUAACCCGGUCAAUUGUUCGAAAAGGCAUAACACAAGCUUCAUAUUACUAGCCUUGGCCAAGUCAUGCUCCAUGAAGAUGAUUGUAUCAUCAGCGUACUGAAGGAUGGAUACACCUCCAUCAAUAAGAUGAGGUACCAAUCCACCUACUUGACCAUUUUCCUUAGCCCUUCCUAUCAAGAUUGCUAAGAUAUCCACCACAAUGUUAAACAAGAUAGGUGACAUCGGAUCUCCUUGUCUGAGGCCUUUAUGUGUCUGGAAGUAAUGACCUAUGUCAUCAUUAACUUUAAUUCCCACACUACCUUUUUGCGCAAAUGAUUCAACAUGUCGGCGCCAGGCCUCAUCAAAACCUUUCAUACACAAUGACUGUUGGAGGAAUGGCCAUUUGACCUUAUCAUACGCUUUCUCAAAAUCCACCUUAAAAAUUACACCAUCUAAUUUUUUGGAAUGGAUUUCAUGAAGUGUUUCAUGCAGGACGACCACCCCUUCAAGGAUAUUUCUGUCCAGCAUGAAAGCGGUUUGGGACUGUUGCACCACAGAAUACGCAAUCUGUGUGAGUCUGUUAGUCCCGACUGAAGGAAAUAUGCCCUAGAGGCAAUAAUAAAGAUAUUAUUUAUUUCCUUAUAUCACGAUAAAUGUUUAUUAUUCAUGCUAGAAUUGUAUUAACCGGAAACAUAAUACAUGUGUGAAUACAUAGACAAACAAAGUGUCACUAGUAUGCCUCUACUUGACUAGCUCGUUAAUCAAAGAUGGUUAUGUUUCCUAACCAUGGACAAAGAGUUGUCAUUUGAUUAACGGGAUCACAUCAUUAGUUGAAUGAUCUGAUUGACAUGACCCAUUCCACUAGCUUAGCACCCGAUCGUUUAGUAUGUUGCUAUUGCUUUCUUCAUGACUUAUACAUGUUCCUAUGACUAUGAGAUUAUGUAACUCCCAUGUGCCGGAGGAACACUUUGUGUGCUACCAAACGUCACAACGUAACUGGGUGAUUAUAAAGGUGCUCUACAGGUGUCUCCAAAGGUACAUGUUGGGUUGACGUAUUUCGAGAUUAGGAUUUGUCACUCCGAUUGUCGGAGAGGUAUCUCUGGGCCCUCUCGGUAAUGCACAUCACUUAAGCCUUGCAAGCAUUACAACUAAUGAGUUAGUUGCGGGAUGAUGCAUUAAGGAACGAGUAAAGAGACUUGCCGAUAACGAGAUUGAAGUAGGUAUUGGAUACCGACAAUUGAAUCUCGGGCAAGUAACAUACCGAUGACAAAGGGAACAACGUAUGUUGUUAUGCGGUCUGACCAAUAAAGAUCUUCGUAGAAUAUGUAGGAGCCAAUAUGGGCAUCCAGGUCCCGCUGUUGGUUAUUGUCCGAAGACGUGUCUCGGUCAUGUCUACAUUGUUCUCGAACCGUAGGGUCCGCACGCUUAAAGUUACGAUGACAGUUUCAUUAUGAGUUUAUGUAUUUUUAUGUACCGAAGGUUGUUCGGAGUUCCGGAUGUGAUCACGGACAUGACGAGGAGUCUCGAAAUGGUCGAGACAUAAAGAUUGAUAUAUUCGGACACCGGAAGUGUUUCGGGGAAGUUUCGGAUAAAACCGGAGAACCGGGGGGUUACCGGAACCCCCUGAGGGGUUAAUGGGCCUCAUGGGCCUAAAGUGGAGAAGAGGAAAGGCAGCCAGGGUAGGCCGCGCGCCCCCUCUCCCCCUAGUCCGAAUUGGACAAGGAGGGAGGGGUGGCGCCCCCCUUUCCUUCCUCUCCUCUCUCGCUUCCUUCCCCCUCUCCUCCUUGGACAAGGAAAGGGAGGGGAGUCCUACUCCCAGUAGGAGUAGGACUCCUCCUGCGCGCCUCCUACUAGGGUCGGCCGCACCCCCCCUUGGCUCCUUUAUAUACGGGGGCAAGGGGGCACCCUAGGACACAGAAGUUGAUCUUCGUGAUCGUUACUUAGCCGUGUGCGGUGCCACCCUCCACGAUAUUACACCUCGAUCGUAUUGUAGCGGUGCUUAGGCGAAGCCCUACGACGGUUAAACAUCAAGAUAGUCACUACGCCGUCGUGCUGACGAAACUCCUCCACCGAAGCUUUGCUGGAUCGGAGCCCCGGGUGCGUCAUCGAGCUGUACGUGUGUUAAGAACUCGGAGGUGCCGGAGUAACGGUGCUUGGAUCGGUUGGACCGGGAAGACGUACGACUACUUCCUCUACGUUGUGUCAACGCUUCCGCGUCGAUCUACAAGGGUACGUAGAUCACACUCUCCCCUCUCAUUGCUAUGCAUCACCAUGAUCUUGCGUGUGCGUAGGAAAUUUUUUGAAAUUACUACGUUACCCAACAGUGGCAUCCGAGCCUAGGUUUUAUGGUUUGAUGUUAUUUGCACGAGUAGAACACAAGUGAGUUGUGGGCGAUAUAAGUCAUACUGCCUACCAACAUGUCAUACUUUGGUUCGGUUGUAUUGUUGGAUGAAGCGGCCCGGACCGACAUUACGCGUACGCUUACGCGAGACUGGUUCUACCGCCGUGCUUUGCACACAGGUGGUUGGCGGGUGUCAGUUUCUCCAACUUUAGUUGAACCAAGUGUGGCUACGCCCGGUCCUUACGAAGGUUAAAACGGCAUCAACUUGACAAACUAUCGUUGUGGUUUUGAUGCGUAGGUAAGAUUGGUUCUUGCUUAAGCCCGUAGCAGCCACGUAAAACUUGCAACAAACAAAGUAGAGGACGUCUAACUUGUUUUUGCAGGGCAUGUUGUGAUGUGAUAUGGUCAAGACAUGAUGCUAAAUUUUAUUGUAUGAAAUGAUCAUGUUUUGUAACCGAGUUAUCGGCAACUGGCAGGAGCCAUAUGGUUGUCGCUUUAUUGUAUGCAAUGCAAUCGCGCUGUAAUGCUUAACUUUAUCACUAAGCGGUAGUGAUAGUCAUGGAAGCAUAAGAUUGGUGAGACGACAACGGUGCUACGAUGGAGAUCAAGGUGUCGCGCCGGUGACGAUGGUGAUCAUGACGAUGCUUCGGAGAUGGAGAUCACAGGCACAAGAUGAUGAUGGCCAUAUCAUAUCACUUAUAUUGAUUGCAUGUGAUGUUUAUCUUUUAUGCAUCUUAUCUUGCUUUGAUUGACGGUAGCAUUAUAAGAUGAUCUCUCACUAAAUUAUCAAGAAGUGUUCUCCCUGAGUAUGCACCGUUGCGAAAGUUCUUCGUGCUGAGACACCACGUGAUGAUCGGGUGUGAUAGGCUCUACGUUCAAAUACAACGGGUGCAAAACAGUUGCACACGCGGAAUACUCGGAUUAUACUUGACGAGCCAAGCAUAUACAGAUAUGGCCUCGGAACACGGAGACCGAAAGGUCGAGCGUGAAUCAUAUAGUAGAUAUGAUCAACAUAGUGAUGUUCACGAAUGAAACUAGUCCAUCUCAUGUGAUGAUCGGACAUGGUUUAGUUGAUUUGGAUCACGUGAUCACUUAGACGGACUGGGUCCGUAACUUGAGGAUUAUCCUCAUUGCUGCACAGAAGAAUUACGUCCUGGAAGCACCGCUAGAUGCCAGGCCUACUGCUGGAGCAACACCAGAUGUUAUGAACGUCUGGCAGAGCAAAGCUGAUGACUACUUGAUAGUUUAGUGUGCCAUGCUUUACGGCUUAGAAUCGGGACUUCAACGACGUUUUGAACGUCAUGGAGCAUAUGAGAUGUUCCAGGAAUUGAAGUUAAUAUUUCAAGCAAAUGCCCGAAUUGAGAGAUAUGAAGUCUCCAAUAAGUUCUGUAGCUGCAAGAUGGAGGAGAACAGUUCUGUCAGUGAGCAUAUACUCAAAAUGUCUGGGUAUAAUAAUCACUUGAUUCAGAUGGGAGUUAAUCUUCCAGAUGAUUGCGUCAUUGACAGAAUUCUCCAAUCACUGCCACCAAGCUACAAGAGCUUCGUGAUGAACUAUAAUAUGCAAGGGAUGAAUAAGACUAUUCCCGAGCUCUUCGCAAUGCUGAAAGCUGCGAAGGUAGAAAUCAAAAAGGAGCAUCAAGUGUUGAUGGUCAACAAGACCACUAGUUUCAAGAAAAAAGGCAAAGCGAAGAAGAAGGGGAACUUCAAGAAGAACAGCAAGCAAGUUGCUGCUCAAGAGAAGAAACCCAAGUCUGGACAUAAGCCUGAAACUGAGUGCUUCUACUGCAAGCAGACUGGUCACUGGAAGCGGAACUGCCCCAAGUAUUUGGCGGAUAAGAAGGAUGGCAAGGUGAACAAAGGUAUAUGUGAUAUACAAGUUAUUGAUGUGUACCUUACUAAUGCUCGCAGUAGCACCUGGGUAUUUGAUACUGGUUCUAUUGCUAAUAUUUGCAACUCGAAACAGGGACUACGGAUUAAGAGAAGAUUGGCUAAGGACGAGGUGACGAUGCGCGUGGGAAACGGUUCCAAAGUUGAUGUGAUCGCGGUCGGCACGCUACCUCUACAUCUACCUUCAGGAUUAGUAUUAGACCUGAAUAAUUGUUAUUUGGUGCCAGCGUUGAGCAUGAACAUUAUAUCUGGAUCUUGUUUAAUGCGAGACGGUUAUUCAUUUAAAUCAGAGAAUAAUGGUUGUUCUAUUUAUAUGAGUAAUAUCUUUUAUGGUCAUGCACCCUUGAAGAGUGGUCUAUUCUUAUUGAAUCUCGAUAGUAGUGACACACAUAUUCAUAAUGUUGAAGCCAAAAAAUGCAGAGUUGAUAAUGAUGGUGCAACUUAUUUGUGGCACUGCCGUUUAGGUCAUAUCGGUGUAAAGCGCAUGAAGAAACUCCAUACUGACGGACUUUUGGAACCACUUGAUUAUGAAUCACUUGGUACUUGCGAACCGUGCCUCAUGGGCAAGAUGACUAAAACACCGUUCUCCGGUACUAUGGAGAGAGCAACAGAUUUGUUGGAAAUCAUACAUACAGAUGUAUGUGGUCCGAUGAAUAUUGAGGCUCGUGGCGGAUAUCGUUAUUUUCUCACCUUCACAGAUGACUUAAGCAAAUAUGGGUAUGUCUACUUAAUGAAACAUAAGUCUAAAACAUUUGAAAAGUUCAAAGAAUUUCAGAGUGAAGUUGAAAAUCAUCGUAACAAGAAAAUAAAGUUUCUACGAUCUGAUCGUGGAGGAGAAUAUUUGAGUUAUGAGUUUGGUGUACAUUUGAAACAAUGCGGAAUAGUUUCGCAACUCACGCCACCCGGAACACCACAACGUAAUGGUGUGUCCGAACGUCGUAACCAUACUUUACUAGAUAUGGUGCGAUCUAUGAUGUCUCUUACUGAUUUACCGCUAUCGUUUUGGGGUUAUGCUUUAGAGACGGCCGCAUUCACGUUAUAUAGGGCACCAUCAAAAUCCGUUGAGACGACGCCUUAUGAACUAUGGUUUGGCAAGAAACCAAAGUUGUCGUUUCUGAAAGUUUGGGGCUGCGAUGCUUAUGUGAAAAAGCUUCAACCUGAUAAGCUCGAACCCAAAUCAGAGAAAUGUGUCUUCAUAGGAUAUCCAAAGGAAACUAUUGGAUACACCUUCUAUCACAGAUCCGAAGGCAAGACUUUUGUUGCUAAAUUGGGAAACUUUCUAGAGAAGGAGUUUCUCUCGAAAGAUGUGAGUGGGAGGAAAGUAGAACUUGAUGAGGUAACUGUACCUGCUCCCUUAUCGGAAAGUAGUACAUCACAGAAAACUAUUUCUGCGACACCUACACCAAUUAGUGAGGAAGCUAAUGAUAAUGAUCAUGAAACUUCAGGACAAGAUACUACUGAACCUCGUAGAUCAACCAGAGUGAGAUCCGCGCCAGAGUGGUACGGUAAUCCUGUUCUGGAAAUCACGCUGCUAGAUCAUGAUGAACCUACGAACUAUGAAGAAGCGAUGGUGAGCCCAGAUUCCGCAAAAUGGCUUGAAGCCAUGAAAUCCGAGAUGGGAUCCAUGUAUGAGAACAAAGUAUGGACUUUGGUUGACUUGCCCGAUGAUCGGCAAGCAAUUGAGAAUAAAUGGAUCUUCAAGAAGAAGACUGACGCUGACGGUAAUAUUACUGUCUACAAAGCUCGACUUGUCGCAAAAGGUUUUCGAUAAGUUCAAGGGGUUGACUACGAUGAGACCUUCUCACCCGUAGCGAUGCUUAAGUCUGUCCAAAUCAUGUUAGCAAUUGCCGCAUUUUAUGAUUAUGAGAUUUGGCAGAUGGAUGUCAAAACUGCAUUCCUGAAUGGAUUUCUGGAAAAAGAGUUGUAUAUGAUGCAACCGGAAGGUUUUGUCGAUCCAAAGGGAGCUAACAAAGUGUGCAAGCUCCAGCGAUCCAUUUAUGGACUGGUGCAAGCCUCUCGGAGUUGGAAUAAACGCUUUGAUAGUGUGAUCAAAGCAUUUGGUUUUAUACAGACUUUCGGAGAAGCCUGUAUUUACAAGAAAGUGAGUGGGAGCUCUGUAGCAUUUCUGAUAUUAUAUGUAGAUGACAUAUUACUGAUUGGAAAUGAUAUAGAAUUUCUGGAUAGCAUAAAGGGAUACUUGAAUAAGAGUUUUUCAAUGAAAGACCUCGGUGAAGCUGCUUACAUAUUAGGAAUAAAGAUCUAUAGAGAUAGAUCAAGACGCUUAAUUGGACUUUCACAAAGCACAUACCUUGACAAGAUUUUGAAGAAGUUCAAAAUGGAUCAAGCAAAGAAAGGGUUCUUGCCUGUGUUACAAGGUGUGAAGUCGAGUCAGACUCAAUGCCCGACCACUGCAGAAGAUAGAGAGAAAAUGAAAGAUGUUCCCUAUGCUUCAGCCAUAGGCUCUAUCAUGUAUGCAAUGCUGUGUACCAGACCUGAUGUGUGCCUUGCUAUAAGUUUAGCAGGGAGGUACCAAAGUAAUCCAGGAGUGGAUCACUGGACAGCGGUCAAGAACAUCCUGAAAUACCUGAAAAGGACUAAGGAUAUGUUUCUCGUAUAUGGAGGUGACAAAGAGCUCAUCGUAAACGGUUACGUUGAUGCAAGCUUUGACACUGAUCCGGACGAUUCUAAAUCGCAAACCGGAUACGUGUUUACAUUAAACGGUGGAGCUGUUAGUUGGUGCAGUUCUAAACAAAGCGUCGUGUCGAAAGCAGCAAACGAAGGAGUCUGGAUGAAGGAGUUCAUAUCCGAUAUAGGUGUCAUACCUAGUGCAUCGGGUCCAAUGAAAAUCUUUUGUGACAAUACUGGUGCAAUUGCCUUGGCAAAGGAAUCCAGAUUUCACAAAAGAACCAAGCACAUCAAGAGACGCUUCAAUUCCAUCCGGGAUCUAGUCCAGGUGGGAGACAUAGAGAUUUGCAAGAUACAUACGGAUCUGAAUGUGGCAGACCCGUUGACUAAGCCUCUUCCACGAGCAAAACAUGAUCAGCACCAAGGCUCCAUAGGUGUUAGAAUCAUUACUGUGUAAUCUAGAUUAUUGACUCUAGUGCAAGUGGGAGACUGAAGGAAAUAUGCCCUAGAGGCAAUAAUAAAGAUAUUAUUUAUUUCCUUAUAUCAUGAUAAAUGUUUAUUAUUCAUGCUAGAAUUGUAUUAACCGGAAAGAUAAUACAUGUGUGAACACAUAGACAAACAAAGUGUCACUAGUAUGCCUCUACUUGACUAGCUCGUUAAUCAAAGAUGGUUAUAUUUCCUAACCAUGGACAAAGAGUUGUCAUUUGAUUAACGGGAUCACAUCAUUAGUUGAAUGAUCUGAUUGACAUGACCCAUUCCACUAGCUUAGCACCCGAUCGUUUAGUAUGUUGCUAUUGCUUUCUUCAUGACUUAUACAUGUUCCUAUGACUAUGAGAUUAUGUAACUCCCGUGUGCCGGAGGAACACUUUGUGUGCUACCAAACGUCACAACGUAACUGGGUGAUUAUAAAGGUGCUCUACAGGUGUCUCCAAAGGUACAUGUUGGGUUGACGUAUUUCGAGAUUAGGAUUUGUCACUCCGAUCGUCGGAGAGGUAUCUCUAGGCCCUCUCGGUAAUGCACAUCACUUAAGCCUUGCAAGCAUUGCAACUAAUGAGUUAGUUGCGGGAUGAUGCAUUAAGGAACGAGUAAAGAGACUUGCCAGUAACGAGAUUGAACUAGGUAUUGGAUACCGACAAUCGAAUCUCGGGCAAGUAACAUACCGAUGACAAAGGGAACAACGUAUGUUGUUAUGCGGUCUGACCAAUAAAGAUCUUCGUAGAAUAUGUAGGAGCCAAUAUGGGCAUCCAGGUCCCGCUGUUGGUUAUUGACCGGAGACGUGUCUCGGUCAUGUCUACAUUGUUCUCGAACCGUAGGGUCCGCACGCUUAAAGUUACGAUGACAGUUUCAUUAUGAGUUUAUGCAUUUUGAUGUACCGAAGGUUGUUCGGAGUCCCGGAUGUGAUCACGGACAUGACGAGGAGUCUCGAAAUGGUCGAGACAUAAAGAUUGAUAUAUUCGGACACCAGAAGUGUUUCGGGGAAGUUUCGGAUAAAACCGGAGAACCGGGGGGUUACCGGAACCCCCCGGGGGUUAAUGGGCCUCAUGGGCCUAAAGUGGAGAAGAGGAAAGGCAGCCAGGGCAGGCCGCGCGCCCCCUCUCCCCCUAGUCCGAAUUGGACAAGGAGGGAGGGGCGGCGCCCCCCUUUCCUUCCUCUCCUCUCUCCCUUCCUUCCCCCUCUCCUACUUGGACAAGGAAAGGGAGGGGAGUCCUACUCCGAGUAGGAGUAGGACUCCUCCUGCGCGCCUCCUACUAGGGCCGGCCGCACCCCCCCCUUGGCUCCUUUAUAUACGGGGGCAAGGGGGCACCCUAGGACACAGAAGUUGAUCUUCGUGAUCGUUACUUAGCCGUGUGCGGUGCCCCCCUCCACGAUAUUACACCUCGAUCGUAUUGUAGCGGUGCUUAGGCGAAGCCCUACGACGGUUAAACAUCAAGAUAGUCACCACGCCGUCGUGCUGACGAAACUUCUCCACCGAAGCUUUGCUGGAUCGGAGCCCCGGGUGCGUCAUCGAGCUGUACGUGUGUCAAGAACUUGGAGGUGCCGGAGUAACGGUGCUUGGAUCGGUUGGACCGGGAAGACGUACGACUACUUCCUCUACGUUGCGUCAACGCUUCCGCGUCGAUCUACAAGGGUACGUAGAUCACACUCUCCCCUCUCGUUGCUAUGCAUCACCAUGAUCUUGCAUGUGCGUAGGAAUUUUUGUUAAAUUACUACAUUACCCAACACCGACCUUGGUGAAAAUUUUGAAACUAACAUUGAGGAGACAGAUCGGCCUGAAUUGCUCAAUUCUCACAGCAUCCGUCUUUUUAGGAAGCAGUGUGAUAGUCCCAAAAUUCAAGUGAAAUAAUUGAAGCUGUCCGAAAAACAGAUCAUGGAACAUAGGUGGUAAAUCCCCCUUAAUAAUGUGCCAGCACUUUUUAUAGAACUCUGCCGGGAAUCCAUCGGUCCGGGAGCCUUGUUGUUUUUCAUCUGUGCAAUACCAUCAAAAACCUCCUUCUCCGAAAACAGGGCAACCAGAAUAUCAUUAUCAGCAGCUGAUAGCUGAGGUACGUUCUCAGUCCUGGACUCAUCGAGGGACACACAAUUAUCCUCCGGAGGUCCAAAUAACUGCUUAUAAUAGUCGGUAAUAUAUGUUUUUAGGUUAUCCUGACCUAAAAUAGUGCCCUCGUCUUGCUCAAGCUGAAAGAUACGCUUCUUUUUGUGCUUGCCAUUAGCUAUCAAAUGGAAGAACUGAGUGUUCGCAUCCCCUUGGACCACUUUGCGGACUUUGGCACGCAAAGCCCACUUCAAUUCUUGUUCGCGAAACAGUUCUUUCAGCCUCUUCUCCGCCUCAUUUCUAGCCUGAAGCUGAGCUGGCGACAAGAUAUUGACUUCGGCCUAUAUGUCCAGGGCCUGUAUAAGAGUAAGGAGUCUAUCCUUUUCAAUCUUAUACACACCACUGAGGUUCUUAGCCCAACCCCGUAAGAAACUUCUUAAAUGCCUAAUCUUAUUCUGCCAACGCUCUAUCGCAUUCUUGCCUCCUACACCUCUAUCCCAUUCCCUGGCGAUCAAGUCCAAGAACCCCUCACAUUCAAACCAACACAUCUCGAAGGAGAAGGUAUUCUUGUUACCCUCAUGGUUCGGCUCCCCUGAGUCCACGAACAAUGGGGUGUGAUCAGAUAUUCCCCUCGAAAGAGCUUGCACCGUAACCAUAGGGAACUUUUGUUCCCACUCCACGCUCGCAAGUACUCGAUCAAGUUUUUCAUAGGUUGGGUUUGGUAGAGCAUUAGCCCAGGUGAACUUUCUCCCAGAAAGCUCUAUCUCUCUCAGAUCCAAGCUUUCAAUAAUGGUGUUGAACAUAAACGACCAUCUGCCAUCAAAGUUAUCAUUGUUCUUCUCCUCUCUCCUCCUGAUGAUAUUGAAAUCACCUCCAACUAAAAUUGGAAGCUGUUCUGACCCACAGAUUCGAACAAGGUACGCCAGAAACUCCGCUUUAAGUUCAGGCUGUGAGGCACCAUAAACCGCCACCAAAGCCCAGUUAAAACCAUCUACCCUAGACCUGACUCGAAACUUGACCACGAAGUCUCCCAUCACGACACUUCGGACUUCAAGCGAAUCGCAUCUCACACCUAGUAAGAUACCACCCGAUCUUCCUCGCGAAGGGAGGCAAUGCCAAUCGAAAUCAAUACCACCCACAAGAGAAGAGAGAAACUGGGGCGCAAAGUUUUCUCUACCCGUCUCUGAUAGAGCAACAAAAUCUAACCUCUGCUCUAGAGCUGCCUCAGCUAGGAAUCUUCUUUUAGCCAAGUCCUUCAGACCUCUGCUAUUCCAAAAAAUUCCACUCAUAGUUCAUCAUGGAAUUUUUUACUAACUCGAAUCCUAGCACUCCUAUGAACUACGGAAUCUGGAUAGAUCUUCCGUUUCCACUUACGCUUAGGUUUACUAGGCUCAGUCACCCGGUCCUCAUAACCGGGUUCACAUAUAUUGCUAGCCUCAUUCUCUAGGGGUACAUCAUCUUCCUCAGAGUCAUGAUUGGGGCGUGCUAGAUCCGCACACAGAUUAUCGAGCACUCUAACCCCUAACGCAUCAAUCUCAUCAUCAUUCAUGACGUAAUGACCUGAUCAUCGUCUUUCAAACAAUUUUCCGCGAUAAGUUGGGCAUGAAACAGGAUGGGCCGCUUUGAUGCCAGGACAAUCAUUUUAGGUUUUUUAGGCUUAUGCCCUUGGUUGGUUCCCACUACUCUUAGAUUUCGGACCUACACAGUUUUACCCUUGUUUCAAUAUAAAACCAUUUUUUAUUUUCGAUUUGAACUCAAUUUCAUCAAUUCUGAAGUUGCUACCCACGUGUGUGAUGUGGUCUGUUAGACCAUUGCUUAGGGCAUCUCCAAUGCAGACUCCUACUCCGGCCUCAAAUGUCUGGAACGGAUGGUUCAGACACUUUAGGCCUCCAAUGUGGACUCCUACUUUGGGCCGGACACGUCCAAAAUCACUCAGUCCGUCCACAAAUCGAGAGGCGGGGUUGGGGAGUCUAGGCGUCAUCAUGCCCCAUUACUACAUCUUCACCCAGCAACCACCUCCUUGACCCCUCCUUUUUUUCCAGACGUCCCCCCUCCCCCUCCACUCUCUGUCCCCGUUCCUGGAGGCCAACGCCAACGCCACCACCCCCACCCCACCCCCAUGCCACCUGGUCCUUGCCGUUGCAAUCAUUCGAGCAGAAGGAAUCGCUCCAUAAGGCCAUAAAUCACCUAAGUUGCGGUUGUCUUCCUCGCCUCCGGUCGAGCAUCGCCAUGGUUAGGUCCCAGCGCCCCUCUGUCCAUCUUAGCAAUCCCCAGGAGCUUCCAAAGACGGUGCUGCAAAAUAAUGUAUACAAACUAUAUAACUUGGCUACGAACAAUAGGCCAUCCCUCCAUUUGUCUCCUAUAAGCAGUUCCAACAAUGUAUUAAUGGUGACAGCAGGGUUACAAAUUUGUAAUUCCUCUCGAAUAGCCUCCUACAUCCGAUCGCUGGAGCGAAGGAAUGUUCAUGGGCUUAUUCUAUUCAGCCUCAGCGCUUCUGAACAGUGGCAACACCAACGAGCAUAAGCUAAACUAUAUGUAGCUCAUAACUUCAGGUAGUAGUUGAUAGCAAAAGAAUUUUCCAGGCAAUAACUGAGAUUGCACUGUAUUUUCUUCCGAUCCCAAAUAGAGGUAUGUCGAGAGAUUACUGCAUCUCUUUUGUUCUCUUGUCGAGGCCAGCAUAUCCUUUUUCUGAAACUAAUUCUAGCAUAUCUCCUGGGAAACUGCAGCA